rnacentral:rRNA from 1 species
GGUAGUCCACGCCGUAAACGAUGUCGACUUGGAGGUUGUUCCCUUGAGGAGUGGCUUCCGGAGCUAACGCGUUAAGUCGACCGCCUGGGGAGUACGGCCGCAAGGUUAAAACUCAAAUGAAUUGACGGGGGCCCGCACAAGCGGUGGAGCAUGUGGUUUAAUUCGAUGCAACGCGAAGAACCUUACCUACUCUUGACAUCCAGCGAACUUUCCAGAGAUGGAUUGGUGCCUUCGGGAACGCUGAGACAGGUGCUGCAUGGCUGUCGUCAGCUCGUGUUGUGAAAUGUUGGGUUAAGUCCCGCAACGAGCGCAACCCUUAUCCUUUGUUGCCAGCGAUUCGGUCGGGAACUCAAAGGAGACUGCCGGUGAUAAACCGGAGGAAGGUGGGGAUGACGUCAAGUCAUCAUGGCCCUUACGAGUAGGGCUACACACGUGCUACAAUGGCGCAUACAAAGAGAAGCGACCUCGCGAGAGCAAGCGGACCUCACAAAGUGCGUCGUAGUCCGGAUCGGAGUCUGCAACUCGACUCCGUGAAGUCGGAAUCGCUAGUAAUCGUGGAUCAGAAUGCCACGGUGAAUACGUUCCCGGGCCUUGUACACACCGCCCGUCACACCAUGGGAGUGGGUUGCAAAAGAAGUAGGUAGCUUAACCUUCGGGAGGGCGCUUACCACUUUGUGAUUCAUGACUGGGGUGAAGUCGUAACAAGGUAACCGUAGGGGRAMCCUGC